UGGUCAUCACAUGGAAGAAAUCUGUGCAUAAAGAAGUUGUCCAGGCUCAAGAAAAACAACGUGCAGAUCUUCUCUCCAGGUGGAAUUUUCCCAGGGAAAAGCAGGACGUCUGCGCCGUACGAUUUUCCAUAAAAACGGAUCGGAUCUGAUGGACAUCGGACAUGACAUCAUCACCUACACUGUGGCUCUCUAAUCACCAAGCUGGCUUAGUUUUAGACUGAUGUUUUAUUAAAGCUGCUGAGAUUCAGGUUUGGUUUAAACCAAGGCUUCACUGCAUUUCACAAUCUAUUUUUUAUUAAAUAAAUUAAUAAAGCACUUAACAUUUUACACUUUCAUUUUGGUCAGAGAUGUCUGACUGACUUCUGCAUGUUUUUAUUUUUAUUUUUAAUCUUUUAAUUUCUAGAUUAGAUGAUUUAGGUGAGCAAUACCUCUUUGAGACUGACGUGAUAUUCUCAGUAUUGUGCUGCUUUUGAAGAGUUUGACGAGCUGUACGCUUGUCACAUGCUGUCAAACAUGGAUUUGAUCCAGUUGAUGGAUUUCAGAU